AGUGAACGCUGGCGGUAGGCCUAACACAUGCAAGUCGAACGGCAGCACAGUAAGAGCUUGCUCUUACGGGUGGCGAGUGGCGGACGGGUGAGGAAUACAUCGGAAUCUACUUUUUCGUGGGGGAUAACGUAGGGAAACUUACGCUAAUACCGCUUACGACCUACGGGUGAAAGCAGGGGAUCUUCGGACCUUGCGCGAUUGAAUGAGCCGAUGUCGGAUUAGCUAGUUGGCGGGGUAAAGGCCCACCAAGGCGACGAUCCGUAGCUGGUCUGAGAGGAUGAUCAGCCACACGGGAACUGAGACACGGUCCAGACUCCUACGGGAGGCAGCAGUGGGGAAUAUUGGACAAUGGGCGCAAGCCUGAUCCAGCCAUACCGCGUGGGUGAAGAAGGCCUUCGGGUUGUAAAGCCCUUUUGUUGGGAAAGAAAAGCAGCAGGUUAAUACCCCGCUGUUCUGACGGUACCCAAAGAAUAAGCACCGGCGAACUUCGU
rnacentral:rRNA from 1 species